UACGGAGGGUGCAAGCGUUAUCCGGAUUCACUGGGUUUAAAGGGUGCGUAGGAGGGCAGGUAAGUCAGUGGUGAAAUCUCCAAGCUUAACUUGGAAACUGCCGUUGAUACUAUCUGUCUUGAAUAUUGUGGAGGUAAGCGGAAUAUGUCAUGUAGCGGUGAAAUGCUUAGAUAUGACAUAGAACACCAAUUGCGAAGGCAGCUCACUACUCAAUCAUUGACUCUGAGGCACGAAAGCGUGGGGAUCAAACAGG
rnacentral:rRNA from 1 species